CGCCCCUACACACGGGCCCGAGAAAACCUAGCCCCUCCCUGGGCUUGGUUGCCGCCUCGCCGGCACUGCUCCGGCGCCGCCGCACCUCCGGUUGCUCCUCCUCAUCGAGAAAAACUUCCUCUACCUCUCAUGUACCUGCGCCGGCUCCGGGUGGGUCGUCUUCGGCUCCGGCCAUCAUCAGCGGCGCUGGUGCGUGCUCAUGGUCCAAGAGGGCGUCCUUGAAGCUGCCUUGCUUCUACGGUUCUAUCUGGACGAAGAUGAGGACGCCCACGCGGACGAUCGUGCGAAUGGAGGGAGCCCGCAAGAGGAGCGGAUCGAUAAGGCUGCAGGUGGAGCGGCUCAUGGAUUCUUGAUGCCAUGAUUGGUACAGCGAGCAUGCCCACCCUGCAUUUGGAAGAGGGAUGCACAAUGAGAAUUUCUGAAUUGAUCGAUGGUGUCUUCGAUUCAUGGAUUUGCAACCAUUGAUGGGGAAUAAACAUGGACUUCGCGCAUCAUGUCGUUUUUCUCAAGGGAUAAUUUUAAAUCUUCUCUACUUUCACUUAAAUGCUAUGAGUGUUUGGUCAGCAAAUUGAUAUUUCGUUUUCAAUGGAAAUAUGUACGCGUUAUCCGGGCUGCAUGUCGAGUUAUCCAGACUCCACAUCUGGUCCCUUGUGCUAAAGAAUUAGAACUGGUUUCAUCUCCGGCCAGCCACCGAGUAAUUGAGUCCGACCAAACUUGUCUGUUAAUAAAAG